GGGACUGAUUAUGGUAGUGAAAGAAGUGGUUUCAAUUAAGUGAUAUUUGGAAGGGAAUAUCAAAGAUGGCUGCCGCUCCAGCUGCUUCCUGCAUGAGCGCCGAAAAUGGAUGCGUUAUGUUCGAUUGCCUCGUACAUCUGUGGGAAUGGCUUGACCCCCCAAUUGCACAAUCACAAUUCCAAAUGGAGAACAAAAAGCAGGUGCCCGCUACGCAGCAGCCGCUGAUGCAGCAGCACCUGAUGGCGCAACACGUGCAUCCUGAUCAAAUCUACAACCAGCAUCACCCUGCUGUCGCAACCCACCUGUCUUCCCCGCAACCUGGCCAGCUUCCACCAAAUGGCGUUAUGCACCAACUCCUACAAAGUCAAUAUCAUUCUAACAUAGAUGCCCGUUCACCACUUCUCGAAAACAGACACGAGUUAUAUGGAACUGGUUACAAUCAAGAUUAUGCUAGGCAAUACGGAGUUAACGAUAACUACAAUUACCCACAAUCGCCUCCUAGGUUAGAAAGAACAGAAUUACACACCGACAAUAAUGUAAAUAACGAAAUACUUCACAAUAUUCCUAAAGGAUAUAAUGCUGAAGUAUAUCAAGACUAUUUAAAACGAAACCCACCGAAAGAUACCAACCAAAUAUACCAAAAUCAUCAACCGAUGUAUCGACCCAAUUCAAAUCAAUAUGGCUCUAAACCGUACCUUCCAUAUUCAAGUCGAAUAGGACCGCAUAGUAAUACAGAGCUAUUACGAAGACAGUACAACGAAAUCCAGCAAAUGAAGUUGCAACAGCAACUGCACUACCAAAAUCAGGCGCAGAUGCAUCAACAACAGAAGUUUGCUGAGAGGCAGAUGCUACUCCAACAAAUUCAUGGCGUACAACCACCUCCGAACUUGCAAAAUAGUAUAUACUCUGAUAGCUCUUAUAGAGACUUAGAUAGAUAUAGUAGUAAAAAUGAUUUCAAGGAGUAUAGUAGUACCGAUAUACAGAAAGAUAUUGAUAGGUACGCAAAAAAUAAUGAAUUUAGAGAAAAUGAUAAACAAAGCAGGCAAUAUACCGAUCAGCAAUGGCAGCCCAAUCAGCAAACUGAUUCUAGGGAGCCAGAGAGAUAUAGAAGACAAUCGGAAGGCGAUAAAGGAAAGAGUCAGUCUCCGCCUUCGGAUCAAAGUCAAAAGAGUAAUAUUGGUGUGGUUUCACCAAUGAAAUCCAGCGAGUCCAGUAGUCCAAGUAUAAAGUCACCUUCUUCGGAGAGCAGAAGAAGCAGCGGUGGGACUCAAGCUUUACGGUCGCCUAUAGCACAACGAUUACCUUCUGCCCCAGUAACCAUGUCGGGCAUUCUGUACAAGCAGGGGUCGGAUGGAUUAAAAGUGUGGAGAAAGAGAUGGUUUGUCUUAUCGGAGUACUGCUUAUUUUAUUACAAAAGUCAUGAUGAAGAGAAGCUCCUUGGAUCCGUGCUACUUCCUUCAUAUAAGGUGUCAGCCUGUACCGCCGAGGAUAAAGUACUCCGGAAAUUCGCUUUCAAGCUAGAGCAUGCCAAUAUGCGCACUUACAUACUCUGCGCUCCCGACCAGGAGGCCAUGCUGAAGUGGGUGAAGGCGCUGACUAUGGCAGCGCUCAUGCAGAGCCCCAAUGACCAACCACAAAAGCAGAGCGAACGGGCAGCUGCAAAAACAGAGGAGGAUGAAGUUCCCGGGCCCACAUAUGCAAAUGCGCCACCAAAACCGCGACGCUCAAAUGAAGGAUACAACUCGCCAAGCUCGGAUAUAUAUGAUCCAAACUACGACCUACUCAAACAGCCAGCAUCACACUACAGCCAAGGCACUAGUCAUACACGCUACCAGGAACACAAUUACCCGAGCAGUCCAAAUCAAGAGAGCAUAUACACUCGGAGCCCACAGUCGCCCCCGGCGCCGCCGCAAUACCCGACGAAACGACCAUACGACACCCACCACCUGUCUCUGCCUCUGACAAACACCGUAACCGACAGAUUAGAAAACAAACAACCUAGUACCUCAACUUCCAUGUAUAAGACCACGCCUAACUCCCCUUACUUUGAUACUAGGAGCAGAACGCAACAAGAAUCUAAACAAGAGCAAAUAUACGAUCGACAACCCCAGUCCAAUCCCUUCCUGCAGGAUACAACACCACAAACAGAAAGUUCUAGAGACAUUGAUAUGCAAAAUAAGAACAGUCGAAAUUAUGAACAAGAACGGGCCCAAUCGAAAACCAAUGAUCCGUACCCAGAAACGCGUUUAAAUAAUUCUUCAAAUGUGGAUAUGGGACAAUACAGUCGAGAUGUUUAUGGAGAGUUGAACGCAAGACCUAGUAGGUCAGGAAGUGCAAUCAAUGAACGCUUAUUAAUAGAGAGGCGAACGCCCGAUGCAUAUGGUCGGUCUACCACUAUGUCCGCAUACAGUAAAGAUAAAGUCGGUGACUACGAAGACGUGUAUGCUACAUAUGGUACCGAAAAUGAUUACGGUCAAAGUUAUGCAAAGUCUCCAAAUAUCUUACGGGAUGCACCCAAUCAUUCUAGUCAACUACAACAGCAAAGUCAAGACCCCAUUGGAAAUUAUUCUCAAGAAAAAUCUUUUAGCGGCCCUUCAGUCUUACGCAGGAAAAAGAUGCAAUCGAGUGGGAUUCAGUCCCAAAUGCCAAGACCCCAUAGCGCAGAUUUUCUUGAAUAUGAAUCUAAGAAUGAAAUGCUCAAUAGAUCCAUGGCAAAUCGAACUGCCAGUAAUGUACCGAGGCAGCCACAGAGGCCUAAAUCUAGUUUAGAUAUCAACUCUUCAUAUGACCCUAGUUCAGAUAGAUACUAUUCAGAAGAAAGUUAUGCGGAAAAAAUGCGCCAAAGUGCUCAAUAUUUACAGCAGGGUUUGGGACCCCGCAAUAUACAAAUUCCUUUGGCAAAAUACGCAAGUGGUCUGGCAGAAAAACAACUACAUUCCCCAUACUCACACACUACGAACAAUAAUUAUGAAACCGAAUUUGUCAGUCCUAGGAAUAACGGCGACAACAUAAGCAACCAUUUGAAAUACAAUGAAACGUUGAAUUCAAACUGGACGUUGAAGAAUAAAGAUCCUAAAGAUUACCUUAAUAGAAGUGGAAGUGUUAUGAGUGAUGGUUCUAAUAUAAGUGGCUAUGCCAAGGGUAUUAACAGAAUAGAUACAAACGCCGAAGGCUUCAUGAGAUCCGCAAGUGCACGAUUACCUUCAACAGCUCCUGAAAGAGAGGGUGAGAAGAAAGUACAACAGCGAGAGGAAUCAAUGAAGCGAUUAUUGGAAUGGAAACAGCGCAUGUUACAAUCACCUUUAACACGCAAAAGUACUCCAGCCACUAUCUCUCUGGCGCGGUCUCUGAAUCAGAGCCGACAGUCGUUAAAAGACUACAAAUCGAAGACCUACGCUAAUUCGUCAUAUAACAGCUAUUCUUCCGAUGAUGAAGCUUCAAUGGCAAUUACUGGCAAUAACAUGGAAUCGGGCACAAAUAAUUCAAAUCAACAAGCGUUGUCUAAUAAAGCUUUUCUCGGAAGUAAUACAUCUAUUGGAAGAAGUAACAGAGAUAGUAAUAUACCUGUGCGGGCCGUGAGCCCCAGAGUUCGAUGGGUGGAAGAAAAACCAACUAAUGACCAAUACGGCUCGCAACAUCUGACAGCUUCACAACAGAAUUUAAGAAUCUCAAACGUGGCAGAGGAGUCAUGGGCAACGGGUAGAUCUCCGUCUAGAGCGUCACAGCAGCCAAUUAGAGCGGUUAGUCCUAGAGUUCGAAGAAACACUGAACAAGACGACAUGCAAAGGGAACAGCAAUCGGGUCAGCAGUUGGGUGAAGUGCCCACGGCUGGGGAACUUCUUGGUCGAACUCACGAAGAAUUGGUGUUACUUCUGAUUCAAUUACGAAGACGACAUGCAGCUACUCAUCGAGCCAUCGAACAGUGCUGUGCUCAAAUUAAUAGUAUCAAGGACUGCCUUAGUUCUCUGAAAGCUAUGGAGCGAGAAGAGAGUCUGCAAAGACUUGAGCAUUUGAAAAUGCAACUAAUGGAACUAGAACAUCAGUACGAAAAGAGCAAGCCGCUUGUACAGUUGGUGGACAAUAUGGUGAAAUUGGGCUCCUUGUACAAUAGGCCAGGAUCCACAGUCGAGCGGCUUGAGAGAAAUCAGAGAUUGAGGCAGAAAGUUCUUGCAGAACAUGCGCUGGAACAACAAAGAUGGUUAGAGAGUGCUGCAGCAGGAAAGCAACUUGAAACAGAAGCUGCUAGAGCGAGAGUGGCUGAAUUGUGGGCUUUAGAACAAGAGCUAGCCGAUGAAGCCGCCAUUUUGCAGGGGCUUAGGACUGAUAAAGACGCAAUCGAAUCUUUACUUACAGGUGUUCGUGGUAAACUAGACAGCGUACAAACCAGAAGCGAUCUGUCACACAUCACGAACCAGCGUGUGUCGGCCGUGCCCGAGCUGGGAAGCGGGUCGCUGGAGGCCGAGCUGGCCCGAGUGCACGCUAUGCUGGCACUUAAUUCUAAGGUUUAUAAGAAACUGGAGCAAACCGUGGCCGAUAACGCGCGUCUGGAGCGCGAGCUGCAGCAGCUGCGGCGAGCGCUGCAGGCGCGCCGCGCCGCCGCGCCCGCGCACCCGCCGCCCGCGCACGCCACCGCCAUGCUCGAAGACGAAGUAUCACGGGUGCAGCAGCUGGUGUCGGCCUUGCAGCGCCAGCGACAGGAGCUCAGUCGGGCGGUGAGGCAUCUCACGCAACAGUCACAUGCUUUGCAGACUACCCACGAUUCUUUACCCGGUAAACGUCGUCCAACUUCUUCAUGGCAAGAAACCAACUUGGACACAGGUCAUACAACCGACCACGGCAACUCUGACUACGACUACGACAUGGGCAGCGUAGUCAUGUCCCCUGGUAAUUACGAGAGCAGUAACAUGGACGUACCGCUGUAUGUGGACACGAGAGGAGGGGGUAACGACGUCAUGUCUCCAAUGACCAGCGAGGAAAUGCAAAAUGGCGGAUUCGCGAACCUGUCCAAUGUAGAAAAACAGGAGAUCAAAACUGUGCGCAUAGUGAAACGCGAAAGUGAAAGACGACAAAGGGAUAGAGAGCGUUCUCUCCAACCUAUGUCCGACUGGCCUUCCAAUAACAUUACUGCCAACCUUGACCAGUUUUUAGAAGAGGAGCUCAUCCAGUCUUCCAACUACUCCAGAGCUUCGUCUGUGCCUCGAACUGAUUUUAGCAAAUUUGAAGAAUACUACUCUAAGCCUCAACCUGCCGAACCUCCAAACUAUCUUCGACUGAACGACAAAAUGUCUUCCAUGGAACUUAGUCCUAAAUAUCCAUCUAGCCCGUCCCUAUCAAACUAUGAUUAUUCUCGAGACAUAUCCUCACUUAGCAGCAGUUAUAAUAGAAGUUACGACAAGUCUGGUUACGAUAAAACUAUUUCGAUUUCAACUCAAUAUUUGAACAGUCCCACGGAUAGCGCUAGAACUCUGACAAACGAUCCGCUGUCGAAAACGAGCAGCAUUGGCAGCUUGACGAGAUCGCAUAUGGAACUGUCGCCCAUCUUCAAAAGCGAGGCCGCGAAACAAAUCAUAACUGAGAUGUCCGGGGACGUGCCUAAGAACGGAUCUCUGCACAGGAGGCAAGUGCCGAAGGAGAAACGAAGGCAUUACACAGCACCGCAUCAUCUAAGCGCAAAAACAUUGAACGAAAUGCCAAAGGAGGCGUACAAUCAAGAUAAGCUGGGCCGGUCGCUGGACGACACGGACAUGGAGCGCGCACUGCGCGCCCCGCCCGACGUGGUGCGCUCAGCGCUGGCGCCGCCGCAGCGCUACGCCGACUCCAUCGACCAGCUGCUGGCCGCGCCGCAGAAGAUCCUCAUACCGGAGCGAUACAUCCCGGAGAAGCCUCCUGAACUGUCACCCGAAGAGCAACAGAAGCGUCAAGAGAAGGUUGAGUCGAUCAAAAAAAUGCUUUCGGGGUCGACUGAUCCCAACACCAAGAGCCCGGACGGCGAAGAGAAGCGGCAGCGGGAACACUUAUUGCAGAUGAACCAGCUGCUCGCCAAGCAGGUCACCGAAAUGAGCAAAAUCAUUGCCGGAACCAACACUGAGCAAGGCCCGACUGGCAACAGCAAAUAAUUAAACCAUUUACAUACAAAUCUCACGUACAAAUUAGACUCAUUAUUAAUAAAUCAUCCUUAACUAUAGUCAUAUUAAGUGAAUUUGUAAGUAAAUUGGCUAGAACAGCGGUCGUUCGAAGAACUGUUGCAGCAUGGUUUCGUUUUUGCAUUUUGUUUGAAAGCGUUAGAAGAGUUGCCGCAGCGAAAUAACGCGGACGACUUGGACGACCGCUCUCCAGAUGUGGAAUUGCCUAUUUAUCAGCAAAGAGACAAUUUCUUUACUUAAAGAUCGAAAUCGAACGUAUUGUCUGAUGAUGUAUUACUUUCAAGAUAUUAUAUAUUUGGUGGAAGACGGCGGUUAAAACCUACGACUUAUUGUUGUUAGUUAACGUAUAACUCUAUUAAAGAAUAAUCACAUGCUAUGGCUAUUAUAGUGCGGUGUGGGCAAUAUCUUUGCUGCGUAGGCUUUGUACUGUACUUAGUACUAUUUACGAGUAGGAUUACCUAAUCUAUUAAGAUUGGAAAUUCUCGGAGUUCCUCGUCGAGUUCGAUUUAACUCUGAUGACGAUUCGACUAUCUAAAUAAAGUUAAGAAUGUACCUAUUAACCUUAAAAAUAACAUCAUCACUGUACCACGAUACUUCAUUCGGUACCAUGUUAGGCGAUUAGCACACCAACGUCGAAUCUAGACUCUACAUCAGUGUGAAAACUGCCUUAUAUUUAUUUUAAAUACUUAAGAAGGAUAAGAUCAACAUACAGACUUAUCAUGUUGUAAUACUUGUAAUAAUAUUUAACCAUGUUGUACGGGCUUUAAAUACUUUAUAGUGAUACCUACACUUAGAAAAUCAAUUAAUAGGUAUACCCUUAUGUAAUAGAAUAUACUUCUUGGACUACAGAACUUAUAUACGAGUAGGUACAUAUUAAUCUUUUUGACUAUAAAUUUUAGCUCAAUUAUCUUCUAUCUUGGUAUUUAGACUACAUAUUAUACCCACUAAUAGCGAAAAUAUUCUGUUUGUCCAACACUGAUCCUGGACUCUUAGGCCUCAUUCGCAGGAGCGCUUUUACAACGCGCGUUAAAAAAGCGUUUGAAUGACACAAUUGGAUACAUGUGUAUUUAUUCACACGAUGGCGGUGCCGCUUUUGUAUCAAGCGUUGUUAGAUUUUUGACUUUAAGCGUUGGUCGAUAAAUCGAAUUUAGUGUGCGGACGGAUUCAAGCGCUUUUUAACGCGCCACCAGGAUUACGCUAAGAUGAGGAGGAGGACCGAAAUAUACCUAUGCAAUUGCUGGUAAAGAAAAUAUUAGGCUAAGGUUUUACUACCCAUCGCAAGUGUGAUGACCACAUGUGUUAUAGAAUAAAACUGUGAGUGGUUUAUAUGCACCAAGUCUGACAUAUUUCCAUUGUUUUGAAUUAUGCGUGUACACUGUAGGUACAUUAAUGUUCGUUUUAUAAUAUUGUCAGUCAACCUGAUUUGUGCUUCAUGUACAAUAUUUACGCAGUUAAUUUGUUUUUUGUCAUAACUGUCAUAAGGUAUGUUUCGAUAAAUUUGCUGACACGCGUUUCCGAGACGCCUGCAUAUCAGAUACAGCACACUUCUUUCGAAUGACGAAUAACCAGGCGUUUGGGUCUGAAGAAUGAUUAAUUUCGAGUAAAGCGACUGACUGAUGACCGCUUAAGAACAACGUAACCGAUCAAUUAAUAAUAUACUUGUUUACUUCAUUGUAGGUUUCUUAUGUAGGUAUUAGUAUUUGCUCAAUUUUAACAACAUUCCUUCAAUAGUUGAUUUGAAAUAUAUAUUGUAGAUAUGUUUAUAUUAUAUAGGUAACAAUUUGUAUAAGUACUAAAUUACAUAUGGUACGUUUUAUAGGUCAGUUGUUUUUUUUCUACUUAAUUAUUACAAAGUAGGUAAGUAUUCUAUGUGAAAUGCCUUGGAUUGUUACUUUAGAUAAGGUUCGAUGUAGUAAAUCCUAGCUGUAAGACGAUGCCAUGUUAAUCAGUUAAAUGAAUAUUGUAGUACCUAAAGCACAUUAUUUAAUAUAAUUUACAUAGGUAUUGUACUUCAGAUGAGAAAUCGAAUUAAAAUGCGUUUUAGUAUUAUUUCGUUUCUUUUAUUUGUUGGUAGGUACAAGUUUAUACUUAUUUUUAAGUUUUGUAUUCUAUUGUAGAAACUUAUUAUUACAAGAAUUAUGAGUAUCAAUAUUUUAUUUAUGACAUGCACAUGAUGCACAGAAUAGAUUGUCAAUUUGUAGCAAGUAGCAUAUAUGAACGGAUUGUAUCAAUUUCCUACUAUUGUUAAUGGGCAUUCUUACAAUUUAAUAACUUUAUGCCUUUAACCUAACCAUAUCAAUUAGUCUUGUUCUAGAUAUGAAUACCUAACAAUAGGCGAUCGGACUAACAGAUCAAAUUAGUUACUGAUUCAAUCACAUUUGGAUCUCUUAUUGAUGUGUAGGUACGUGUUGGAGUCGACAAGAUGCUAGCGAAAAAAAAAACGAUAAUAAUUGGGCACUUGAGUAACUAGAAACUUAAAACUUCAGAUAUUUUUCCCGGUAGAUGAUAAAUAGACAUGCCUAUUUACGACAUAAUACGACCCCCCAGUCAACACCAAUGCCAGGUGGUGUAGCACUUAUACCUGUGGUACGACCAAGGAGGAUAUUAGCUGUUCCCUUUGCGGUACGAAUUCUGGAAAUUAAUGUACUGUUAUAGUGUUAUGUACAUACUACAGAUUCUUAAUCAUUAACUAUUUCUUUGAAUUAGUUGACAUAUUAAUUCAUCGUACCUAUCUCGGAUCUCGGCCAGGAUGUCUAAAAUAUAAGCGGUAUUUUAUCAAUAUUAACAAAUGCUAUGCCUAUAUAUUAUUCCAUGAAUUUGUACUGCACGAGUAACGACAAUCCUUUGUGAUUGUCCUGUAUAGGUACCACACCACCGAUAUUUAAUGUUUGGAAAAAGAUUGAGCCCAGCAGUUUUUAAACAUUUUCUUGUUCGUAUUUUGUUUAUGAUAACGUGGUUAUCGCGCGAUAAUGACAGGAUAAAGCGUCCGUGGAGUUAUGUUUGUUCUAUCAUGUCAUUUUCACCGUGUCCAUCGUAUGAAGCUUGGAAAUGCGGCAAUUUCUGAAACUUUCCAACGGCACAUCAGUAGAUUUAACCGAAGUAUACGCAACGGUCCACCCUUUUUCCGAAGACUGUUGAUGGCAAUGAUGGCGCAUGUUCCUACAUGUAUGCUGGUAUGUGUCGAAUGCAAUGAUUUUCAAACAAAUCUUCUGAGCGUGGAGCGAGCAUCAAGUUGAUAUCGGUUAUUGAUAGCAGGUACUUAUGUGCGUAUACUUGCGUACCUAUUGCCUAUCAAAAGCUUUAAAUAGUGACUGUAUCCCCUGUUACUCGGCCUCAUAUGUAUUGCAUGUAGUAAAAUUAUAUGUCUGAGUGAAUGUUUGCUUAGUAUGUAAUAUUACGACUAUACCGACCGUAAUUGUAAUAAUCUUUAACUGUAAUGAUUUAAAAAUAUCACGACAAAUUGUCGACACAUACAUUAUUUGCCAUAAUUAAAUAUUUUAUUUUCUAGUACUUUUAGGUAUCAAUUUUAUAACGUAGAUACCUAUGUCCACGAUAAAAAAAUUAAUGACCUAGCAAAUGCGAGAUUUAGGUAGGUAUUUAAAAUUUGUUUCAGUCUACGAGUAUAAUAUAAAUCCUAUAAUCUUCCUGUAUCUUGUACCUUAAUUUACUGAAAAAAUGUAAAUUUCUGAAUGAUGUUGUAUUACCUAUUAACUGCCUACUAAAAGUUUGUAUAACAUGAAUAUUAAAAAGUAGUAGCACUAAAUUUGUUUCUCGCAUAACGACUUGAUUUAUAUUUAUUACUGAAUAUAAUCAGUAAAAUAUUUUAGUUACUUCCUAGUGUAUUUUAUUUCUAAAAAUUGUUGUGAUUGCAUGAAUACUACGCUACUUAGAAACCUCUAUGUUUGAAUUUCAUUUCAUUAUUUUCAUACAAUUUUAAUUUUGUAAAUUGACUGAUCAUGUUUUACCCAAUGUUGAUAAUGCCUUAAUUAUGGUAAACACAUAGCUAGUAUUUUAGCUUCAAUAAUAUUCUAUAACAGACAUAGCCCCUUUACACUUUUAACUCAGUGCUCAGUGCAAAAGUGCGCAGAUGUGUCACUAUAUGAGAAGAUAAAAUACUGACUAUUAUUUUUACUGCAACAAUGUUGUUGUGUAAAUACCUACAGGGAAAUCGUAGAGUUUGAUAUUUGUUAUCUAUACUUAUUUUACUUAUACUUACCUACCAUUUGAAUGAGUUUCUUGUGCGCUUGUACAAAUUUUCGACACAGAUCGUACUAAUUAAUUAUACUGGUAUAAAUCGCUUAGCUUAAAAUUACAGUUGUUGGGGACUGUAUGUCCACAAAAUCUGAAAAUUAAUAAAAUAUACUAUUCAUUAA